rnacentral:rRNA from 1 species
CCUACGGGUGGCAGCAGUGGGGGAUAUUGCACAAUGGGGGAAACCCUGAUGCAGCGACGCCGCGUGGGCGAAGAAGAAUUUCGGGAUGUAAAGCCCUAUCAGCAGGGAAGAAGAAAUGACGGGACCUGAGUAAGAAGCACCGGCUAAAUACGGGCCAGCAGCCGAGGUAAUACGUAUGGGGCAAGCGGUAUCCGGAUUUACGGGGGGGAAAGGGAGGGCAGGCGGCACGGCAAGCCUGAUGUGAAAGCCCGCGGCCCAACCGCGGGACUGCAUUGGGAACUCACGGGCUGGAGUGCCGGAGAGGUAGGCGGAAUUCCUAGUGUAGCGGUGAAAUGCGUAGAUAUUAGGAGGAACACCAGUGGCGAAGGCGGCCUACUGGACGGUGCCUGACGCUGAGGCUCGAAAGCGUGGGGAGCAAACAGGAUUAGAUACCCCUGUAGUC